rnacentral:lncRNA from 1 species
UUCAAACCCCGUCGAGUUGAGAUCUAGGACUUGCUCAAGUGAUGCUACGAUCUGGAUAUACUUGUGUCUUGGAAGACCCUUCAAGAACUUCUUGACCAUGUUGGAUUCUUCUAUGUUUUCUCCCAACGAGGUUGCUUUGGAUGAUAGGCCCGAUAUCUUCCCCGCGAAGUCAUCGACCGUAUCUGAAUCAUCCAUCUUCAACCUAUCAAACUCUGUCAUCAAUGUCUGAAGUCUCGCCUCCCUUACACGAUCAACUCCUAGGUGUCGCGACUUGAUGGCAUUCCAGAUCUCUUUUGAUGCGGUUUGUUCUCCC